rnacentral:tRNA from 1 species
AUCUAAAUAGUUUAACAAAAAAUGUUGGCUUGUGGCGCCUAAGAUGUAAAGAGAUUACUUUGGAUA